GACGAACGCUGGCGGCGUGCUUAACACAUGCAAGUCGAGCGGAAAGGCCCUUCGGGGUACUCGAGCGGCGAACGGGUGAGUAACACGUGAGUAACCUGCCCCAGACUUUGGGAUAACCCUCGGAAACGGGGGCUAAUACCGGAUACGACACAGCUUCGCAUGGGGUCUGUGUGGAAAGUUUUUCGGUUUGGGAUGGGCUCGCGGCCUAUCAGCUUGUUGGUGGGGUGAUGGCCUACCAAGGCGACGACGGGUAGCCGGCCUGUGAGGGCGACCGGCCACACUGGGACUGAGACACGGCCCAGACUCCUACGGGAGGCAGCAGUGGGGAAUAUUGCACAAUGGGCGGAAGCCUGAUGCAGCGACGCCGCGUGAGGGAUGACGGCCUUCGGGUUGUAAACCUCUUUCAGCAGGGACGAAGCGUAAGUGACGGUACCUGCAGAAGAAGCGCCGGCCAACUACGUG
rnacentral:rRNA from 1 species